UUUGAGCACUCCUCUGCACCUGCUAGUCAGCAAUUGCACCCAGCUGUUUUCCUUUGGCUGUGCCUGGGAUUCCCACACUCAGCAGCAUGGGAAGGUCCCAGAACAACUAGGGUGUAGCUGCAAACAAGUUCAUGACCUCUGUAAAAAGUUUAUGUUAUUUACAAGAAACCGGGGAGGCUUUCAUUCACAGUGCUUCUUAGGUUCAGGGAAUGUGGUACAGAAAAGCUACGACCCGCCUCACCUCCCUAUUGCUACUGUGGUUUUGUUCCUGCAGCUGUCUGAAGGAAGCGUUGUUUUUUUCUCUCCCAGGGGCUGCCCUUUUCAUCCUUGGAAGCAGUUGGUACUCUUGCUGAAUCUAAUUUACCUGGCUGUUUUCCAAACCUCUGCUCCAUGAGCUGUUCUGCUUGGGCAGGUACUGCUGUCUCACAGAAAUUGUUAAAUAGCCAGAAAUAUUGCUGUUCCCCAAGUGGACAGACACCUCUCACAGACCCUUCCAGAGCAUUGUUUCUCAGGUUUGGGCAACUGAGGCUGAGGGAAUUCAGAUCACUUUGCACCAGCAAGAGCUGCUCUCCUCCAGCAUGGCAUCUCCUGAGAUAUCAGGUGUGCUUGCCCUGCAGAGCUAUUAGAGAUAUGCCUGUGGAGCUUCACUCACACAUCCCCAUUGCCACACUGAAGCAGCUCUCACCUGUCCUGCCACUUCCCUGCUUCUAGCUGAUGCUGAGCCAUUGUGUGACCUUAGCAGGAGCUGCUGGUCUUGGGGCAAGAGCCCUGCUUUUCUCAGUUGGUGUCUGGUUUGUUCCACUAUGUGGUCUCCUGCAGCAGUUCUUCUUUGGGUAGUAAGUGCUCCAGUUGAAUAUUCACACUUGAAAACAGCUGGUGUGUAAUCAUGAAAAUUAUAUAUCUAUAUAAAAGAUUUGUUAGGCUUAGAAGAGGACCCUGUUAAAAAUGUUCCUCUCUCCCUCCUGUGGCUGUCCUGCCCUUUGUCUGGGGUGUUUGGGACCCUCCAGCCCUCAUUGCUGUGAAGCUCUGAUUUGGCAGCUCUAUGAACUUGCCCUCAGCUAGACUUCAGUGUGCUUCAGCAUGGUUUCUUCUGGUCUACAAAAGCAUGUUCCCUACCUGCCUGCUCACGCAAAUACUCCCUAACAUGGGAUGGACCUCCAAAUGUCAAAAACUAUGGAGCCAGGAGAGGGAGGAAUAGGGGAAAAAAAACAACACUAAAAUACCCUCCAGCAUCCAGGGCUCAUGACUGCUUUGACAAGAUCUAUCUUUAGUUAUAAUAGUGAGUCACAUCAUUGUGAUUUGACUUUACGGUUAGUUUGAGGUAUGAGCCAGGCCAUGGGAUUGAGAGCGAGAGCAUCAUGGGAUGCAGCUGUAAAAUUCCACUACUCUGUAAAUCAGGUUUGAAGAGCAUUAAGAAACAGGAAGCAGGCAGGGGAGGGUGGGUUUUUGUGUGUGUGGGUUUUUGUUGUUGUUUCUUUUUUGCAGCGGAAAAUGAUCGCAGUGCCCGCUGCAUUGUAAUGUUGUUGAGCAGCACAGGGAACAGAACGGAGGGCAUGUAUCGGUAGGCUGCUGUAAUAUUCCUGAGCUGAGCACUUCUCUUUCCACACUGCUCCGUGUGCCAAGUGUCACGUCCAGCCUGCCCCACCAGCCACCACGAGCUGAUGCAGGAUUUUCGUGGAUGGUGCCGUGUUGCUUAGCAACCUUGCUAGGCAGCAUGCUAUACAUCACGCACGGCGCCGGCUACUACGGUACGGUGAGGUUGCUUCCAGUUCUUUUUAUCAGCUAUGAAAUAUUAAUUUUCUGCUGGCAGGUAGUGUUGGCACCUGGAGAUUGAGGGGUGCUCCCUCCCAGGGGGACGUGUGCUGCUCCGUAACGGGAAUCGCAGGCAACCCCAGGCAGAGCUGAGCUCCUGGGAUGUGAAAUGUGGGCACGAUUCCUGAGAUAUAAACACCUUCUGUGCCUGAGAUGGGCUACAGGUUGGCUUUAGCACAAAGAAAUUAAUAAAUAACCAGGUGGUGAAGAUUAUGUGACAGACAUAAUAAUGUAAGUACAAUGUAUUCCCCCUCCUUUGUUUUCUAUGACUCAUAUAAGCAAAUCCUGAUGUGAGGAGCACAUGUUUGCGUACACAAAGAGAAGGAAAUUUCCUCGACAUUUGGGGAUUUUUUUUUAAAAUAUUUUUUAUUUUAUUUUAUUUGGAGGCUCCUCCACUCCAGGGCAUUGUGGAUGAGAGCCCAUAUCACAAACACCAGUGACAGUUUUCUAGAUUGAUGGGUGUAAUUGCAGUAGAGACUGCCUGCCAAGCCCCCUCCCUGAAAUGAUUGCAUAACCCAGCUGUUGCAUGUGUGAAAAAACAAAAAAAAGAAAAGAAAAAAAAAAAAAAGAAAAAGGGAGAAACCAAUCCUACUCUAUAUGAGGCUGAAUUGUUAUUGCAGAAGGUAAACAACAGGGAGCCUAGUCCCCAGAGCAGCAGAGGAGAUGGUAUCUACAGCUCAUUUCAGGUAUGCAGAGACUGAAUCAGGAGCUGUCUCAUUCCAGGUCAAAAGAGCCCUCUGCAGAGAGUCUACCCAGAACAGGGCUUCCAUAGUUCUGAAAUCUCUGGAUCUACAAUGCUCAUUUUUUUUUUGGACAUAUUGUUACUUGUAAUGUUACCGGGUGGCAAGAAGGGAAGGAUGCAAAAGAGUGGAAAAAAGGCAGCAGAUCAUUUCUGGCACCUGAAUACCAUGUUUUUUUACUGAACAUCUGCAGACAGACACAUUGUUUAAGCCAAAGUGAAGAGGGAAGCAAGAGGGGAAAACCACAGUGUCAAAAUACACAACGGCUUGUGAGAUGAACUGCUGCUUUGCCCCUCAUCUACACUUGCAGAUAUGGCAGCACUGGUGGGACUCAGCAAAACCAUGCUUUGUUCUCCAAUUACUUUUAAGAGACCAGAAAUAUAGUUUCAGUUUAACUCAUUUUGUUGCAGGCAUAUCUUGCUGCAUUUUGUGGUGAGUGGUGGGAUCAGACAGAAUAGCUCUACAAUACAGUGCACACUUCACACUGCAGAUCUCACAGGACUUCAGUACAGAAAUUGUUCUCAAGGUGUUCAGUGGCAUUUGUCCAACAGGAGAACAAAGACCACAACAGAGCUUUCAUUUAAUUCUUUUCACCAAAUCAUAGCAGGCUGAAGUGAAUUCAGUGCCCAUGCUUCAGCUCCUCUGUUGGGCUCCUCAGCCUGGUAAGGCUGUUUUAAUCCUAGGAAAAGCAGCUCAGAAAUUGUACUGAGAGGAGUAUCUAGAUGUAACACUUUGGAGUAAGAACUGCUACUACAGGGAAAUGAAAUGCUAUCCCUUCCACAGCUAUGCUUCAGGCACAUCUACAGGCCUGUCCUGGUUUUGCUGCCAUUUCUGUUGAUGAGAAAAAAAUUGAGUUUUUAUUAUGUCUUUGUUUUUUUUUUUUUUCAACUGAAGAAAUUUAAUUGAAAUGACUGCCCAAUUAUCUGUAUAUAUAUUAAAAAAAAAAAAAAAGAUUUUUUCUAUAAAAUUUGACAAAUACUGACAGCAGUCGCAGUAAAAUUUAAGGUGUAUGAAAAAUGUGCAGAUUUUCACCAUCCGUUUGCACAUCUUUCUGUUACUUCAGAAAGCUUCUCAGCUUAAACACUUGACAACUGACGGAGCUGUUAAACUUUUAGUGAAUGAGGACCGAGUAAACAACUGCAAGGCCUGUAACUGCGUGCAUUCACAGAGUUGAAUUGUGCUGGAUGCACACCAGUGACUGAUGGAGGGAUGCUGGACCCAGCCCAUAUCUAGGACAGCGAGCGUGCCGUGCCUGGUUCCUGCCAAAACGAGGACUUCAGCAGUAGGAAGGUACUAGGAGCAUAAAUGUCAUUUAUACCUGCUAUAAGAUCUCUGCGGGGUGAUAGUACAAAUGACAACCUGUCUCAGCCCUUCCCGAGGGCUGAGAGUUAUCACAGCAAAAGUUAGAAGAUAAAUUACAUCUUACAACAAAACAGACUCAAAUACAACACGUGCAAGCAUCUCAGUCUGUGCAGAAAGCAGAGAGUUAUGCCGGGCAGAGGUAAAAAUAAGCAAGCUAAUCUCAAAUGACAUUGGAAAAGAAAAUAGCUGAAGGACUUUUCCUCUCUGUGAGUUUCGCAGUAAAUACCACUCCGUUUUCGAUAUCAUUAACAUUUUAUUAUUAUGACUACUAUUAAACAGCAGCCCUGCCUACUUUUGCCUGUAUUUUCUGGGCAUGUCUCAGCAUUUUACAAGUUGGAGGUUGUGCUGGUAAUUGGAAAUAUUGUAUCAUCAUUUCAUUACCACCUGGCUUAGAGAGAGGAUCACCCAGUAAUUGGGUUUUGUAGGCAUCCACUGAGAUAAAGAAAGGGAGGAGGCUGCUACAAACUCUUCUACAGUCACUAUGAAAGUACAUUUUUUUCUUAAAGAAGAAGCAACACUUCUUUAAAUUGAUCAUCACAACUUCGGUUUUUCCCUUUCUUCUAUUGAUUUGCAAGAAAUAGGGUUGCUUGGAUUGUUUCAUGCCACAAGAAAUAUCAGUCCUCUUUCUCUCCAAAUGACUCAGAGUCAAUGUAGUCUGAAAAAUAGCUCUAACAAAACAAGCUCUUAGUAAAUAAACCCACAAGACUAAAAUCCAGUGCAAGUCUCCUCCAAAAACUGUUUGCAUGUUUCCCUUUCCUUUACAUGUAUAUUUACUGGUAUGCUUAAGAAACAUUGUGAAGUUUUACUCGGAAACUCUUACAUAAAGAUGAGAUUGGGAACGUGAUAUGUCAGAGAGGUUACAUUUCACCUACUUUGCCUGGAAGAGCUCUUACAAUAACUAUAAUUGGAAACAAAAGUGAAAAACAGCACUUAAUAAAAAUUACACGGAAUCAGAUAUGAUGUGCGUGUGUUUGUGUGGGCAUUAGUCUCCUUGACUAUCUUCAGUACUUCAAAAAAACAGUACCAAAUUAUGAUCCAAACCCCUAAGAAUGGAUAAAUAAAAGAAUAAGACGAGACUAUUAACUUGCCUUCUCUGCACAUGUGUUUCAGGACAAGCUUUUAAUUAACCAUCAUCUGCUACCUUGUUAAUGGAACACUCUCCUCAUCUAGGUGGUGACCACUGAAUAAUGUUUGUUGCUGGGUGGCAAACAUGACAGAAAUGUCUCUAGGAAGCAUCCCUGUGAAGGACUGGAACCACGUACACAAAGUAUAAUGCAGAAGUCAUGAACUGAGUAAUGAAGUUGAAAAGAAGUCCAAUUCUUAGACUUGGUGCACUGAGUGCUUAAUGUGCUAGAUGUUCUCAGUUGAAAGAAUAUCUGACCUUGCAAUAAAAAGAUGUAAUAAAGUGAAUGCACUGAAAGGAUAAUUAAACCUAUUCAGACCAUCAUGAUCA